rnacentral:rRNA from 1 species
CAAUAGCGUAUAUUAAAGUUGUUGCAGUUAAAAAGCUCGUAGUUGGAUUUGUGGCGUACGGUGUGUUCCGGGCACUUGUUGUCUGAGUAACCUGCUGUUGCCAUCCUUGGGUGGAACCUGUGUGGCAUUAGGUUGUCGUGCAGGGGAUGCCCAUCAUUUACUGUGAAAAAAUUAGAGUGUUCAAAGCAGGCUUAUGCCGUUGAAUAUAUUAGCAUGGAAUAAUGAGAUAGGACUUUUUUACUAUUUUGUUGGUUUGCGCAAAGAGGUAAUGAUUAAUAGGGACAGUUGGGGGUAUUCGUAUUCCAUAGUCAGAGGUGAAAUUCUUGGAUUUUUGGAAGACGAACUACUGCGAAAGCAUUUACCAAGGAUGUUUUCAUUAA